rnacentral:rRNA from 1 species
GACAGAGGUGCCAAGCGUUAGGCGGAAUCACUGGGCUUAAAGCGUGUGUAGGCGGAUUUGUAAGUACCUUGUGAAAUCCCACGGCUCACCCGUGGAACUGCUGGGUAUACUGCGAGUCUUGAGCCACUUAGGGGCUGUCGGAACAGGCGGUGGAGCGGUGAAAUGCGUAGAUAUCGCCUGGAACGCCAAAGGUGAAAACAGACAGCUGGGAGUGUGCUGACGCUGAGACACGAAAGCCAGGGGAGCGAACGGG